UACGUAGGGUGCAAGCGUUGUCCGGAAUUAUUGGGCGUAAAGAGCUCGUAGGCGGUUUGUUGCGUCGGCUGUGAAAUCCCGAGGCUCAACCUCGGGUCUGCAGUCGAUACGAGCAAACUAGAGUGUUGCAGGGGAGACUGGAAUUCCUGGUGUAGCGGUGAAAUGCGCAGAUAUCAGGAGGAACACCAGUGGCGAAGGCGGUUCUCUGGGCAUUACCUGACGCUGAGGAGCGAAAGUGUGGGGAGCGAACAGG
rnacentral:rRNA from 1 species